GCCUGGGUGGCUCAGUUGGUUAAGCAUCUGACUUCGGUUCAGAUCAUGAUCUCAAGGUUCAUGGGUUCAAACCCAUAUUGGGCU
rnacentral:tRNA from 1 species